AUCGCAGUCUGCAACCCGACCUGCGUGAAGUCGGAAUCGCUAGUAAUCGCGGAUCAGCAUGCCGCGGUGAAUACGUUCCCGGGCCUUGUACACACCGCCCGUCACACCAUGAGAGUCGAUAACACCCGAAGCCUGUGAGCUAACCUUUUAGGAGGCAGCAGUCGAAGGUGGGGUUGAUGAUUGGGGUGAAGUCGUAACAAGGUAAC
rnacentral:rRNA from 1 species